rnacentral:rRNA from 2 species
AAGGGCGACUGAAGCCGGAAUAGCUCACCAUGUGAAUCUGCGGCGCCGAAUUGUGGUCUGGAGACGCUUGCGCUCGGGCCAAGUCCCUUGGAACAGGGCAGCUGAGAGGGUGAGACUCCCGUCCGCCUGGCCUUGGAGCAUUGUGUCGACGAGUCGAGUUGUUUGGGAUUGCAGCUCUAAGUGGGUGGUAAAUUCCAUCUAAAGCUAAAUAUUGGUGGGAGACCGAUAGCGAACAAGUACCGUGAGGGAAAGAUGCAAAGAACUUUGAAAAGAGAGUYAAAGAGUACCUGAAAUCGCUGAAACGGAAGCGAAGGAAACCAGUGGUAGCUGCGUCAUAUUUCCCUGUCCGCGUGCGGGUGGGGCGCUGUGGCCAGCGUGGUCAGGCUUGGUGCGAUUGGUCGGACCCGCGUCGGGAGAGUUUGAUCUCGGCAUGUCUGCGACUGUUCGGACUGAGGCUGGCGAAAUGGUUUUCUUUACCCCGUCUUGAAACACGGACCAAGGAGUCUAACAUAUGUGCGAGUACAGAGGUGGCAAACCUCGGUGCGCAAUGAAAGUGACAGUGGCUGGAAUAHGAUUGCACAGUCAGCCGGCCUCAAUGUUUBGGCAGAACGGUHUGAGUUUGAGCAUACAUGUUGGGACCCGAAAGAUGGUGAACUAUGCCUGUAUAGGGUGAAGCCAGGGGAAACUCUGGUGGAGGCUVGUAGCGAUUCUGACGUGCAAAUCNAUCGUCAAAUAUGGGUAUAGGGGCGAAAGACUAAUCGAACUAUCUAGUAGCUGGUUCCCUCCGAAAUUUCCCUC